AUUGGAGCAGGAAAACCUUAGCAGUUGCUGCUGUGGAGUCGUGAUUAUCCAGGCCCAAAGAUCCAGACAUCAUGGAAAAAAGCAUUGACUAGAUCACUAAGUGAUAAGAGGCCACACAGAGAGACUGUGGAGGAAGAGAGAGGACCCAGUAGGACUUGCUAGCUCCAGGAGUGCUGAUGGAUAAAAGCAGUUGCAUGAAUGUUUUCAGCCAAAUACCACCUGCAACCAAGAUGAGACUUUUCCAUUGAGGUCUGCCCAAACUGAAGAACCAUGAGAGGCUAGAAAUCAAAGUUUCCUAGAUGGGAGUUCACUAACUUGUGUGGGAGCGUCUGCUUCACAAUCAUCUGAGAACUUGUUAUAAAUAUAGAUCUCCUUGCCCCAGCUCAAGAUUUCUGCAGCCCCCACCCCACCUCCAGGUCUAGACGUUUUGA